rnacentral:rRNA from 1 species
AUUGAACGCUGGCGGCAGGCUUAACACAUGCAAGUCGAGCGGGGUGAUGGUGCUUGCACUAUCACUUAGCGGCGGACGGGUGAGUAAUGCUUAGGAAUCUGCCUAUUAGUGGGGGACAACAUCUCGAAAGGGAUGCUAAUACCGCAUACGUCCUACGGGAGAAAGCAGGGGAUCACUUGUGACCUUGCGCUAAUAGAUGAGCCUAAGUCGGAUUAGCUAGUUGGCAGGGUAAAGGCCUACCAAGGCGACGAUCUGUAGCGGGUCUGAGAGGCUGAUCCGCCACACUGGGACUGAGACACGGCCCAGACUCCUACGGGAGGCAGCAGUGAGGAAUAUUGGACAAUGGGGGGAACCCUGAUCCAGCCAUGCCGCGUGUGUGAAGAAGGCCUUAUGGUUGUAAAGCACUUUAAGCGAGGAGGAGGCUCUUUUGGUUAAUACCCAAGAUGAGUGGGCGUUACUCGCAGAAUAAGCACCGGCUAACUCUGUGCCAGCCGCCGCUGUAA